GCGGGUAUAGCACAAUGGUAGUGCAGCAGCCUUCCAAGCUGAGGAUGUCGGUUCGAUCCCGUCUACCCGCUCCA
rnacentral:tRNA from 78 species